rnacentral:rRNA from 1 species
AUUGAACGCUGGCGGCAGGCCUAACACAUGCAAGUCGAGCGGAUGAAGGGAGCCUGCUCCUGGAUUCAGCGGCGGACGGGUGAGUAAUGCCUAGGAAUCUGCCUGGUAGUGGGGGAUAACGUCCGGAAACGGGCGCUAAUACCGCAUACGUCCUGAGGGAGAAAGUGGGGGAUCUUCGGACCUCACGCUAUCAGAUGAGCCUAGGUCGGAUUAGCUAGUUGGUGGGGUAAAGGCCUACCAAGGCGACGAUCCGUAACUGGUCUGAGAGGAUGAUCAGUCACACUGGAACUGAGACACGGUCCAGACUCCUACGGGAGGCAGCAGUGGGGAAUAUUGGACAAUGGGCGAAAGCCUGAUCCAGCCAUGCCGCGUGUGUGAGGAAGGUCUUCGGAUUGUAAAGCACUUUAAGUUGGGAGGAAGGGCAGUAAGUUAAUACCUUGCUGUUUUGACGUUACCAACAGAAUAAGCACCGGCUAACUUCGUG